GUGAGAGAGCUGUGACUGAGAGAGGUCAGACAAGCCUGCUCAAGGCCAGUCAAAGCCUGCAGUCACCUGUGUUUCCAUCCAGAGCUCUUCCAGCUACACCACAGUUCAACUAAGAAGGUCACUCCAAAGAUGUCACCAGUGUUUUCCCCAAACAUCAUUUUCAUCUUGGCACUCCCUUCCUCAAGCAGAGACAGUCUCUAUGCAGCUGAAGAAUUGUGUACUUUCACCACUGGAAUUUGAAUUCAGCUAAUGAGAACUAAGAGUAAAACGAAGAUGCCUUGCAAAGCUCCUUGGUCUCGGCCCUGUACACUGGCCAUAAAAUUAGGCUGCCUCCCUUCCCUUUGGGGCUACAGCCCUGCUCUAUAAAUGCAUUUCAAACCUAUAAAAAUAUUAAACUUCCUUAAAGCAUUCAUCCUAAGCUAAUUAUGAAGCUGAAGCUAUUAAUACAGAGAAAAUUAUAAAAUAAUAUCUUAUAUUUACAUGGUGUUACAUACCUCUGUGUUUGAGAGCACAGUCACAGACAUUAUCUCUUAAUCCUGGAAACUCGUGAGAACCGAACAACUCCGACUUGAGAGAGAGAGCAAGCGGAAGAGAGAAGCGCCCGAUUCUGUCACUGUCUAGCUGUGUGACCCAAAGGAAAUGAUCCAGCCUCUCUGAGCUUCAGUUUCCUCAGCUGCAAAUUGCUUUGGGUGUGCUGCUGCUGCUGCUAAGUUGCUUCAGUCGUGUCCGACUCUGUGCGACCCCAUAGACGGCAGCUCACCAGGCUCCCCCAUCCCUGGGAUUCUCCAGGAAGAAGCUCAAUAUGAUAAAACUAAGAAGCAGAGCUAUGGGAUGAGGAACAUCACAACCCAAGCCUCAGGUCAAAAAUGUGAGCAAACCCCUAGCCCCACCUGGCACCACUGCUGACCGGACUGGCAGUAAGAAGUUAUUUGGAGGAAAGAUGUUUCCGUGAUCAAUAAUCUUUGAACAUUCUAUUCAGAAAU
ensembl:lncRNA